GGACUACCCGGGUAUCUAAUCCUGUUUGCUCCCCUUGCUCUCGCGCCUCAGCGUCUGGUAUUAGCUAGAAAACCGCUUUCGCCACAGGUGUUCUUCCACAUAUCUACGCAUUUCACCGCUACACGUGGAAUUCCGUUUCCUCCGCCAACCCUCUAGGUCUUGAGUCUUAAAUGCUGCUCUGAAGUUGAGCUUCAGAAUUUCACAUCUAACUUUAAGUCCCGCCUACGCGCCCUUUACGCCCAAUCAUUCCGAUUAAUGCUUGCACCCUCCGUAUUACCGCGGCGGCUGGCAC
rnacentral:rRNA from 1 species